rfam:Lepisosteus oculatus linkage group LG3, whole genome shotgun sequence.
GCAAGCAGCCAUAUCACCCUGCAACUCACAACUGGCAACCCACUGAAGCUAAGCAGGUGUGAGCCCGAUCAGUACCUGGAUGGGAAACCUCCUAGGAAAAACUAAGGUUGGUGCUUGAA